rnacentral:ncRNA from 1 species
UAAUAAUUUGAUUCUAGUUAUAUAAUAAACUCUUUUCUUAAAAUACAUGCAAAAUUCUUAAUCCCGUAGACAUUUAACUUUAAUAUCAUUUACGCCUGCAGUAUUUAAUACUGCCAAAAUACAUUUUAGUUACGGUAAAUUAAUUUUUAGUUGGUAAAAUGUGUGCCAGCCACCGCGGUUAUACACAAAACUAUAGUUUAUUUUUUAGGGUUAUUUAAGAAAUUAAUAAAUUAUUAGAAGGUCCAAUUUAAAUAAAAAAUAGAAAUUUCUAAUUAAAUUAAAACUAUAAAAAUAAACAAGGAUUAGAUACCCUUUUAUUUUAUAGCGUUUAAAUAAACCCGGGUAGUAAUAAAUCAUUUUCGAAACCCAAAGAUCUUGGCGGUGUUUUACCUAUCCAGGGGAACCUGUGAAUUAAUUUGAUAAUCCACAUUUAUUCUCUCUAAGCCUUGAUUUCAGUUUAUGUAUGGUCGUCAUCAGUGUAUCUUGGGAAAGUUUCACAAAAAAAUCUAUCAUUAAUAUGUCAGAUCAUUAUAUAGCUUAUGGCUUAGUUUACAUGGGUUACAGUAUAAAUAAUAGAUUAAAUUAAUAUAUAACUUAUAAAAUCGGACUUGGAAGUAAUAAUAAAUUAAAUUUUUUUUGUGAAUAUAGUUAUCUAAAACGUGCACAAAUCGCCCGUCACUCUCGCCGAAAGGUGAGAUAAGUCGUAACAUAGUAGGGGUAAUAGAAAUUGCCCCUCAAAAUAU